AGAACGAACGCUGGCGGCGUGCUUAACACAUGCAAGUCGAACGAGAAGUACGGGUAGCAAUACCUGUAUUGUAAAGUGGCGCACGGGUGAGUAACACGUGGGUAAUCUGCCCUCGAGUUUGGGAUAACCCCGCGAAAGCGGGGCUAAUACCGAAUAAGACCACGGGGACCAAAGUCCCUGAGGUAAAAGAUGGCCUCUAUUUAUAAGCUAUCACUUGAGGAUGAGCCCGCGGCCCAUUAGCUAGUUGGUAGGGUAACGGCCUACCAAGGCUAUGAUGGGUAGCUGGUCUGAGAGGACGAUCAGCCACACUGGAACUGAGACACGGUCCAGACUCCUACGGGAGGCAGCAGUGGGGAAUAUUGCGCAAUGGGCGAAAGCCUGACGCAGCAACGCCGCGUGGGGGAUGAAGGUUUUCGGAUUGUAAACCCCUUUCGACCGGAACGAAUCUCCUCCUGGUAAAUAAUCAGGAGGAUCGACGGUACCGGGAGAAGAAGCCACGGCUAACUCUGUGCCAGCAGCCGCGGUAAGACAGAGGUGGCGAGCGUUGUUCGGAUUUAUUGGGCGUAAAGCGAACGCAGGUGGUUUGGUAAGUCAGGGGUGAAAGCCCACAGCUUAACUGUGGCACUGCCUUUGAUACUGCCUUUCUUGAGUGCAUGAGGGGGAAGCGGAAUUCCGAGUGUAGAGGUGAAAUUCGUAGAUAUUCGGAGGAACACCGGUGGCGAAGGCGGCUUCCUGGCAUGUAACUGACACUCAUGUUCGAAAGCGUGGGUAGCAAACAGGAUUAGAUACCCUGGUAGUCCACGCCCUAAACGAUGGGCACUAGGUGUGGGAGGUAUCGACCCCUUCCGUGCCGCAGCUAACGCAUUAAGUGCCCCGCCUGGGGAGUACGGCCGCAAGGGUGAAACU
rnacentral:rRNA from 1 species